rnacentral:rRNA from 1 species
UAGGGAAUCUUCGGCAAUGGACGAAAGUCUGACCGAGCAACGCCGCGUGAGUGAAGAAGGUUUUCGGAUCGUAAAACUCUGUUGUUAGAGAAGAACAAGGACGUUAGUAACUGAACGUCCCCUGACGGUAUCUAACCAGAAAGCCACGGCUAACUACGUGCCAGCAGCCGCGGUAAUACGUAGGUGGCAAGCGUUGUCCGGAUUUGUUGGGCGUAAAGCGAGCGCAGGCGGUUUCUUAAGUCUGAUGUGAAAGCCCCCGGCUCAACCGGGGAGGGUCAUUGGAAACUGGGAGACUUGAGUGCAGAAGAGGAGAGUGGAAUUCCAUGUGUAGCGGUGAAAUGCGUAGAUAUAUGGAGGAACACCAGUGGCGAAGGCGGCUCUCUGGUCUGUAACUGACGCUGAGGCUCGAAAGCGUGGGGAGCAAACAGG